GGAGUCGUGGUGCGUUCCCCUCCUCUACAAAUUCACCCCAUUUUUUCUCUUCCACAAAUCAGAUUCUCUCCCCGCACAAACAAUGCCAAACGCUGUCUAAACCCUACCCCUCUCUCUCUAUCUUCACUGCUUCAUGGACUGUGUAGCAUACAUAUUUCAUCGUUCUCAAUCUUCGCCCUAUGGCUCUCCUCUUCUUCCCGCGCUCUCUCUCAAUCGCCUACGCGCCAAACGUCGCCUCUGUUCCCCGGAGGAAAAGGUGCAGUUGCUCUUUCUCUGCACAAGCACCUUUGACUACAACCAACGGACGUUGCAGUGGUGGCUCCGUGAUUAUCUGGUUCAAGCAGGAUCUUCGUGUCGAUGAUCAUCCUGGCCUUGUAGAAGCUUCUAAAUAUCCAUCCUUAGUUCCUCUUUACGUUUUCGAUCACCGGAUUCUUUCUUGUUAUUCUGAUGAAAUGCUAGAACUUGUUCUUUUUGCACUGGAGGAUUUAAGGAAGUCCCUAAAGGACCAGGGAUCUAAUUUGAUGAUCAGGUUUGGGAAUGCAGAGAAUGUCAUAAGAGAUCUUGUACAGGAGGUGAAGGCUACGGAUAUAUUUGCUGAAGAGGAGGUAGAGUACCACUUGCACAAGACAGUGGUAAUUGUGGAAGAAACCUUAGUAAGGUCACCUCUUUUAGAUGGGAAUCCAAAGAUGAUGCUAUGGCGGACUCCAUUUUAUGAUAUUAAGAAUCUAAAGGACUUGCCUGCGUCAUAUUUUGACUUCAAAAGACUUCAAUUGCCCAUAACUUCACCUCUUCUGCUCCCAACCUUACCUGGUGUAGCAAUGGAAUUGGAAUGGGGCUCUCUGCCCACAUUGGAUGAGUUGAAGAAAUUUAUGAAUGAAAAUCCUUUGAAAUUGAAAGAAAGCUGGACUUUGAUCAAGGGGAUGUCAGCUGAAACUGUAUUGCAGAAGAAGCUGUCAAAGUUGAGAGAAACAGAUCUAAAUAAUUUGAAUUUCAAGCAAAGUCAGAGGAAGAGACUGGAUAAAUCUGUUUUUGUCACACAAAAACAAAAUUUUGUGGGAGGUGGGACAAAGAGCAUACUGAAAGCAUUGGCUGCAUACUUAAGAUAUUUGGAGGGAACAGCUCAAGAUGAUUGGCAAGAGUAUGUGGUGAUAUUUUAUUUGAUUCAUUUAUCAGCAAGGAUUCUUAACAUCUUGCUGAAAUAUACAGUUUCAUUUAUCUGUUGUUAUUUUUUUUUUUGGCAUUUAUGGUAGCAAUCUGUCCAUGAACCAGAAGCAUCUGUUGUCAGUUUACUAAAAAAUCUUGCACUUACCAUUAUGGAAUAUCAAAUGCUUACCAUGUGGAAGAAGAUUGCAAUCAUCUGAAUGAAUUGCAUGCCGCACAACAUAGAACAAGGAACACUGAGUUGGCACGCUCUAAGUCUUCUCUAUAGUUUAAAUUUUGUAUUCUUCAGAUUACUUGUACCUUUCUUGUUUUCUGACUUGAAAUUUCAUAUUUCCCUAUCCAACAUCUCUCUCUCCUCUCUCAAUAUAUGUAAUUUUUGGUUGGAAAGUGUUGUAUUAUAAUGGAAUUGCAGUCGGGUUCUUGGUCUAGAUCUUUAAACACUGUUUGCAGUGGGUUUGUAUUUUGUGCGCUGUGAUCUUGGAAAAUGACUUUUGAGGAUAAUUUUAACAGUAUAAAAAUUUAUGCUAUUGAGAUUCAAUUAAAAUUAAUAGGAAUGAUUGUAUGGCUUGAUCUCAUAUCAGGGUACAUGAGAAGUUACGUGAUGCUGAAAGUAGGGAUGGGGCUUCUUUUUUCACGCUUUUUGGUCCUGCACUUUGUCUUGGGAUUAUAUCCAGAAGGAGAGUGCACUAUGAAGCAAUAAGAUAUGAGAAGGAAAGAAAUGCUGGAUUUCUGUCACCCUUUGGAUUUUCAACAAUCACUGUUGCUGCAGCUGCUGAUGCUGUGUGCUCAAUGGAGUGGUAUUGGCUUAUGGCUCUAAAAGGUCAAAUAAAUGUUGGAGGAACAUAUCCUAUUCGAAUAUGGCGAUGGAAUGGCUAUCUAAUACAGUAUACAAUUGUUGGUCAUGAAGGUCCUGCUGUUCUCCUUGUUCAUGGUUUUGGUGCAUUUUUGGAGCAUUACCGUGAUAACAUAAACGUUAUAUCUCAAGGUGGAAACCGAGUUUGGGCAAUCACAAUUUUGGGAUUUGGCAAAUCAGAAAAGCCAAAUGUUGUAUACACUGAACUUCUGUGGGCUGAAUUGCUUAGAGAUUUUAUAAUUGAAGUUGUGGGUGAACCAGUGCAUCUUGUUGGGAACUCCAUCGGUGGCUAUUUUGCAUCCAUUGUUGCAUGUUGUUGGCCUGCUUUGGUCAAGUCAGCUGUCCUUAUCAACAGUGCUGGGGAUGUUAUUCCAGGAUAUGGUUAUCUACAAUUCACCAAAGAGAGACAAACAUCAGUGAUUGCACGGCUGGGUGCUCAGCUCCUUUUGCUUUACUUGAGGUGGAACAUGAGAACAAUAAUGAAGGAUUACUACCCAACAAAAACAGAAAGAGUUGAUGAUUGGCUUAUUAAUGAAAUGCUAAGAGCUUCCUUCGAUCCUGGUGUACCGGUGGUCCUGGAAAGUAUUUUCAGUUUGAAUCUUUCACUUGCGCUUAAUUAUCUUUUGGAAGGUUUCAAGGAAAAGGUUCUAAUCAUACAGGGAAUGAGAGAUCCUCUUUCCGACUCCAAGUCCAAAGUUUCCCUGCUCAAAGAGCAUUGUUGUGGAGUCGCAAUUAGGGAACUGGAUGCUGGCCACUGCCCCCAGGAUGAAAAGCCAGAAGAAGUGAAUCCAAUCAUUUGCCAUUGGGUACUGGUAGCAGAAAGCGAAAGUCUGGCGGGGAGCUUUUCAUAGUUCAUAGAGAAGCGAGUAGUUGUUGUACGUGAUAUUAAUUUCUAAUUAACAUUAAGCCUUCAUUUUUUUUUCUCAAACGGCCUACAACUGUUAUAACUAAUUUGCACCGAUAAAAAAACCUGUAGUAAGUGUAACAAUAUAUAAUAUAUCCAAAAAUAAGGAUAUAAAUUUAAUUUUAAAUAAUUUUGGAAGUAGUGUGUGUGUGUGUGAUCCAUCUGACUUCCUCUCUGCAAACAUUUACCCCCGUAAAAAGAAUACACCAAGUCAGAUGCCCGUGAGAAACCGACUCCUAUGUUUGAAUGGCUUCUGAAGUGGGCCAUGGCUUUAAAACAAUACAAUCAGUCCCAGUGAUUGGGAGCAUUAGCAGAAGACACUUUCCUCAAAUUGACGAGGCCUUUCAAAACAAAAUUAUCCAAAAUUUUCCAAUGAUUCCCUUCCACCUAUUGUCCUAAAAUUGGCUCCUAUCUUCUAUCCUCUUAUUUUUCCACUUUUGCCUGACAUUGAUCGCUUUCUAUCUUUUGGUUGCUUGCUGAUCUUCCACCAGUCUUAACUCAUCCAUAAAGCCCGUCAUAUCAGGAACGAUUCCUUCAUUGCAAUAUCUAACAAUCCCUUCCCCUACUAGAUCAUUCAACAUUUCACUGGGUUCUUUGGCUCCACCAUGCUGCAAUAACUUUGUUCUAAGAGAAGUUCCUGUGCUUAAUGAAAGUGGAUCUUCCUGGCAUAACUUCUUCCAUAUGGUUGCAGCAAAACAUCUAGCAUACAAGUAGCUAUAGUAGCCUGCACCAUAAUUUACAAGAUGACUGAAUCUGAUCUGCCAGUGUGUACCCUCCACAUGCUUCCAACUGGUAUACUGCCUUUUAAGAUCUGCAACAAUAGAACUUGUAUCCCUGGACGAGGCUUGCUGUUCUCCAAAAAGAGUUUGGUCGACCAAAGCAUAGAAAACCUAAUGAAUACCAAAUAAGAAAACAAAAAUAGUUUAAGUUUUUUUCUUGCCUCGUAAGCUAAUUUCUUCAAGGCCUAUAAAAUAAACCUGGCGUUGCAAUUCAGUUGCUGCAAACAUAUCUCUAGCACCUAGCAUGGACGUCACCAACUUCUCAGGUAUUAUUUCACCAGUUGAGUGGUGCUUGGCAAAUGUUCUCAAGACUCGGUAAUCCCAGGCAUAGUACCUAAGGAUACCACCAAGAUCACAUCAGGUCAAAUACCAUUAAUGCAAUGUAAUUAUUUUCAGAAGUGAUAUAAAUGCAUAAAUACUUAAAGAAACACAUCUAAGAAACAAAUCGUCUUUGUUACUUUGGAUGGAUCAACUGGACUUUAAAUGAAUAUACUAGAGAAUGAAGUUACAGCAGAUUAUCAUGUGUAUGAUGUUUACCAUACUAAAUUGAGCACAGAUGAGUUAAGUAGCUAACCAUGCUACACCCAACUGAAGAUAAUGAUAGGAUAUACAUGGGGACUGUAUUUUGAUGAUGCUAUCUACUGGCUCAAAAUGCUUUAAGCUCAUAUGUUUUAUGUAUUUCUAGUAACACUAUUUCCAUAAGCAAUGAAAAAUAUUUUGCUGAUCCCAACAGCAAUAAGAGGAGGAUGACAAUGUGUAAAUUACAAUUUGAUACUCACUCAAACAGGUUUGAAGGCGUUUCAGCAAAGUCAAGAACCACCCUAGUACCUGAAAAAUGUUGAAAAUCCUACAAGAAUAAUCAUGAGAUAGUGUGAACAAAAAAAAAGCCUUAUGAUUUCUUCGCCCUGCAGCAAUGUAGUAACAGUCUUGUACCGUUCUUGAGAGCAAGGAAUGAAGAGCAUGUCCAAACUCAUGAAAUAGAGUUUCCACUUCCCAGUGAUUAAGCCUCACAUUUGAACUAUUUGAUCCUGAAAAAUUGCAAACAAGGGCCACAACAGGAAGCUGAUAUUCUGUUUCAGAAAUGCGCCGUCCUCCUUUAAUUGCAAAGUUAGCACAACCUGGAUACUUGCCCUUCCUGGAGUACAAAUCAAGGUAUAGAUAUCCCAAAUCACCCUCUUCAGGAUGACGAAGAGACAGUUUAAGAACCUCUGGGUGCCAUGAUUCACCUGGUGCCAUAGGGACAUUAUGAAAUGUUGCACCAAAUAAUGACUUCACUAGUACUUUCAAACCUUCAAUACACUGUCGCAAAGGAAAAUAUGAUGCUACUAUUGAAGAGUCUAAAUUAUGAGCAGAAGACUUCAUCAUCCCAGUAUAGUAGGUCUCAUCCCAUGGCUCUAAAUCAAUACAUCUUUGACCACAUUUUUCUCUCUUAAAAUUUCUUAUUGUCUCAAACUCCUGAUCGGCUUUUGGCCUGAUCAUCUCACUCAUCUCACAGAGAAAGGACAUCACAACUUCGGGUGAUGAAGCCAAGUUUUGUUUCACCACAAAUUCAGCAUAAGAUUUAUACCCCAUUAUCUGUGAAAGCUCAUGGCGAGCGGCAAUAAGCUCAUCAAGAACUUUGAGGUUUGCACGUGGAACAGAGUUCCCUUGAAUAUAUGCCAUCUUCCUAACCUCAUCAUCUGCUACCCAAUGCAGAACUGAAACUAGAUUCCUGGGCUCUGUUAUUAUCCGAAAUCCUUUUUCUUUCAUGUUACUCCAUGACCCUAAUGAUCCUCCCGAAGUUCCAGAUGUGAAGCGAUGAAUGGGAGUAAGAAGAUGGUGUAUCUGUUUUGGUAUCCGGGAUGCUGGAAAUAUAUCCACAUUACCCGGAUCAAUACUUAUAUUUUCACCAAACUGCCUAGAGAGUUGAAAAAUGUCCAUGUUUAACUGAUUCACUCUAUCUAAUUUCUCAGAAGAUAGAUGAAUUCCGCCCUUUUCAAAAUCAAUGCGUAGGUUGUGGGCAGCCCUAUGAGACUCCUUUGUAAGCAAAUGAUCAUCUUGCUCUGCUCUUUUCACGGCCGCAUAUAAAGUAUGAUUUGUAUUAAGAUACUCACAUGUAGAUAUUCAUUGAUCCUCAUAGAUGCCUUGUUAGCCUCCUCAACAAAUUCCCUGUCUGGAUGAGUAUGUCUACAAAGUUCUGCAGAAUCAACAACAGAGCAGACUGUGUCUGAAAUCUCAUCCAUGGCUUGGAUAAUUUCAGCUGAUGAAGGCAUCAUAGAAAUACGAUUGACCAAUUCCCCAGACUUUAGGGUUCCUUUUCCGGUUGCGAAUUAGCAUUCAUUAAAAUAAGCAUCAAAAUCAAUCCUGGAAGUCAUCUCUCGAUGGCUUCGUCGACGAACCGUUGAAAGCCUUUUGGAGUUUUUAAGUGGUCGAAUCCGUAGAGACCGGUGGUGGUGGCUCCAUCUAAUCGAGGUACUGCCCAGGUGCUAAACUGUCGGGUCUUGUGAAGAUCCAAACUGCAUAGUUUAGAAACAUAUUUGGGACGGAGUUUCGCAGCAGCUCUGCGGAUUAGGGUGGACAUGGUGGCUAGAGUGGUGCUGAUGCUGCGCUGCCGCUGGCUCUUUGUGUUUCGUCUUUCGUGGUUCCUGAAGCUGCUUUCAAGUACAGGGUUUUUUUUUUAAUUUUAGGGAGGCUUUCACGUGGAGUCCCGUUGCCAAGGCGAGAACCUGG
rnacentral:misc_RNA from 1 species